rnacentral:rRNA from 1 species
CAUUUUAUACUGGGUCUUGAGUGGCCAAAGGAGAGGUUCAGAGCGCUCGGUGGCGUUAGCGUAGCACGAUCCCAAAUUCUUUCGUCGCAGCGGCGGAAGUCUAGGGGUUGGGUUUGGGAGCUUAGGCCUCUUCGUCUCUCCUUGAGCGGCGGCUGCUGUCGGUUCUACAAAGAGCCGCGCUACGGGGCCUUCGGCUCGUUCCUCCGCCGCAUGUUCCUCGACGCGAACGUGGAGUCGUAGUACCGCCCAACGUAGCGGCAGUAGGCGCGGCGGGGGAUGUAGGAGGUGAUGGAGUGGGCGCUCGGGCCGUACUGCCUCGAGUUCGAGCUCGAGAUCCCGCGAAGGGGGCGGGGGCGGGGGACUCCACGCUGACCCUACCACUUCAAUGAGAGUCCUAGUCCGAAACUUCAUGGAAUACUUUGUACUUGAAUCAAAAGGAACUAUCACAAAGAAGGAAGACAUCGCACUCUUAAGUUACUGCCACAAACGUAUUUGAGACAACCAAUGUUAAUGGUGACGGGACUGUUGAAACGCCCCAAAAUUGUCAGUCGCUAAACAACGAAAUGUAUACAUAAAUAAUAGCGACCCCACACUAAACAGCGACGAUAUGACUUAAACUAGGCCAACAGGAGAAAACUUCUGCGUAGUCAACCUAGACAGUAGAAUUGCAAGU